rnacentral:misc_RNA from 1 species
AUGAAAUGAUCUGUGCUGCUUAAUACAAACAAAACGACAACUACAGAAGAGAGACUAUCAUCAAUCAUCAAUAUUGUCAUUUGCCACCACUUAACAAAACGUGCAUCAUCCUCCUGCCUACCCAAAUGAAUUUUAUUUAUUAUUAAAAUGAAUUUUAUUAUUUUAUAAAUAAUUAAAGCAUCCAAUGAGAGAGAAAAGAAAAAGACAAAACGAAAAGUGGUUUUAAAGCUUGGGUGUCUGGGGGCGUGGACUUUUUACUGAAUUCCAGAUCCGCCAAACAAAUCCUUAAAAGAGAAGAGAGAACAAAGAAGAAAGAAAGAAAGAAAGA